UGCUCAAGUCCAAGUGGUUGGAAAGGGCCCCCGACAAUUCUGGGGACAUGAUCCCCCUCCUCUGUACCUUGUUUGAGAAGGAGGACAUCAUGGGACUGGACACAGACAGCAGGGACCUGUGAUCUACAUGUCCGCACUCCCCUUCUGCUCCAUGGAGUUGAGGUGGCAAAUUUAGGAGCCUGGGCACUGCUGAAGGCACAGCUGCCAGCAUCGGGCUUCUCCCAGACUGGCUCCGUUCACCUCACCUGUCACCACCUGCUGAGCCCCCAGGCAUUAGUCAAGGUAGGUGCAUCAGUGCAACGUAAGCAGGGACCAACUUCUCCCCCUGGACAGACUGGUGCCCUCACCUCCAGUGGCAUCCAUCCAGACACCAGCACUGACACUGGCCAUGCUCAGAACUGCCUCAGCCCUGAAGACACUGCUGACAAAUAGAAGGGGGCCGCGUCCUGUUACAGCAGGUGCUCUUACUUUGUGGGUCCUUAUAUAACUGUGCGGUGUUAUUCAGGAUUGCCCGUUCUACAUUGCGUGACGGUGCUGUGGUGUCUCCUAGUUUUUUGUUUCUGAGAAUUAUGGCCUGCUGCUAGAGUGUUUGAUCAGGGUAAAUGAUUUGUGUCUAUAAGAUGCCACGUACUGUCACAAGUUCAGUGAGAAAUGGUCUGUCGCCUCUUCUUCUACAACUCAGUGCUCGACAAGACAUCGGGGGAAAGCCAGUCCCUAAUUUGUGUGUGAUGCAAGUAGGAACAAAAUUAAUGUCUUGCCUUUCCCUAGCAGUAUUCUUACUACUUUGCUUCAUUUACUUCUUUUCUCCUUUCCUUUCC